rnacentral:lncRNA from 1 species
UUUCCCUUCUCUUCUAGUCUACGAAUCCUUUUGAAAAUCAGGUGCAAGAGACUAGACUAGAUAGGCAAAUUCUAGUCUGGAUAGAAUAUACAGGAUAGUUUGUGAGGCCCAAGAAAUGGCAAACCACUUAAAAAAUCAGUAGAAAGUACAGUCCAUAAGAGGAACAGAACAGCGGCCGCCUAAAGACAGAGUAACAGGGAGAGAGAGGGCACAGAUGCCCCACUUACCUGAUCUUCAACAAGACUCAACAAAGGCUGUGGACUGUGAAGCCCAGCAAGAAUGCUGUUGAAGAGACAAAGCAACUCUCCUGUGUCCUAGAAAGCAAGGAAUUCAUCACAGAUUUUAAUAAUAUGUUCUUUCAGUCACUCAUGGCCCCUAUGUGAUGUCGAUGCAUUUCCCUUCCAAAAUG